ensembl:lncRNA
AAACAUGUCACUUCCUGUUGCCAGCAGGUGGCGCUAUAGCGAUAUCUGAAUAUUGGCAUGUAGAUAUAUUCAGGCCAAGACUCUUUUCGAACAUGUGAAGUUUGGGGAAGAUCGGACAUCUUAUGCCUGAGUUACAACAACUUCUAUUCCCAUGGCGAGACAUCAAACUUUGUCACGGCGCCAUGGUCACACCCUUUAAUGAAACCUCAAGAUGUUCACAAUUUAACAUCGCAAAGGCCUUUAGAUUAGACUGACCAAAAAAAAAUAUAAAAUGUCAUAAAAUAUCUAGGAGUAGUUUGUUACGGCGUAAAACAUGUCACUUCCUGUUGCCAGCAGGUGGCGCUAUAGCAAUAUCUGAAUAUUGGCAUGUAGAUAUAUUCAGGUCAGGAGUCUUCUCAAACAUGUGAAGUUUGGGGCAGAUUGGACAUUGUAUGUCUGAGUUAUAGCAACU